CGGAGUUACAGAGUAAGAGCCAGAGCAGAGGCCAGGCUGAGGCUGGGUGGGGUGAGGGCCAUCCUCCCGCUUUGGUGUGUCCAGGAAUUCUCAGCAGAACUAAGCCCUUGUGGAAAGAUACUAUGGCCUUGGUACUUACCGCCACAGGAACAGUGUGGCCCCUCCCACACCAUCAGCUACAUCCAAUCUAUAGUGUUCACAUGGCUUCAGAGGAGAUGCUAUCAUUGCCAACAAGAAAGGAUGGUUAUGUUUCAUGAGCUCCACGGACCACCACAGCGGAGCAGCCUGUGGCCUGAGACACUAAUAACUGAUGCAGGCUCUCCUUCACCAAAGCCAAGUGCUCUUCGGACUUUUAACAAUAGGAGCUGACUUCUGUGCCAACUCUUCCCGCAAAUGCUUUUCAUCAAUAAGCUUUUUUGCAAGUGUGUCUAAUAAUAAAGCCCAUGAUCUCUU